UACAGAGGUCCCAAGCGUUAUCCGGAUUCACUGGGUUUAAAGGGUGCGUAGGCGGCGCGGUAAGUCGGGUGUGAAAUCUCGGAGCUUAACUCCGAAACUGCAUUCGAUACUGCCGUGCUUGAGGACUGGAGAGGAGACUGGAAUUUACGGUGUAGCGGUGAAAUGCGUAGAUAUCGUAAGGAAGACCAGUGGCGAAGGCGGGUCUCUGGACAGUUCCUGACGCUGAGGCACGAAGGUCAGGGGAGCAAACGGG
rnacentral:rRNA from 1 species